rnacentral:rRNA from 1 species
CCUACGGGAGGCAGCAGUGAGGAAUAUUGGUCAAUGGCCGAGAGGCUGAACCAGCCAAGUCGCGUGAGGGAAGACGGCCCUACGGGUUGUAAACCUCUUUUGUCGGGGAGCAAAGCGAGUCACGUGUGACUCAUUGAGAGUACCCGAAGAAAGAGCAUCGGCUAACUCCGUGCCAGCAGCCGCGGUAAUACGGAGGAUGCGAGCGUUAUCCGGAUUUAUUGGGUUUAAAGGGUGCGUAGGCGGGGGUGCAAGGCAGCGGUCAAAUUGCGGGGCUCAACCCCGGACUGCCGUUGAAACUGGAUCCAUUGAGUGGGAGAGAGGUAUGCGGGAUGCGUGGUGGAGCGGUGAAAUG